rnacentral:rRNA from 1 species
UAGGGAAUCUUCCGCAAUGGGCGAAAGCCUGACGGAGCAACGCCGCGUGAGUGAUGAAGGUCUUCGGAUCGUAAAACUCUGUUAUUAGGGAAGAACAAAUGUGUAAGUAACUAUGCACGUCUUGACGGUACCUAAUCAGAAAGCCACGGCUAACUACGUGCCAGCAGCUGCGGCAAUACGUAGGUGGCAAGCGUUAUCCGGAAUUAUUGGGGGUAAAGAGCGCGUAGGCGGUUUUUUAAGUCUGAUGUGAAAGCCCACGGCUCAACCGUGGAGAGUCAUGGGGAACUGGAGAACUUGAGUGCAGAAGAGGAAAGUGGAAUACCAUGUGUGGCGGUGAAAUGCGCAGAGAUAUGGAGGAGCACCAGUGGCGAAGGCGACUUUCUGGUCGGUAACUGACGCUGAUGUGCGAAAGCGUGGGGAUCAAACAGG